UCCCUGGUGGUCGAGUGGCCAAGACUCCAUGCUCCCAAUGCAAAAGGGCCCAGGGUUCAAUCCCUGGUCAGGGAA
rnacentral:tRNA from 1 species